GGGUCUGACCCCUUCCCGUCCCUGUCCUCUGACCCUGACCUCCUUCCUACCGUCCUUCUCUCUGGGGGCGACGGUGAAGAUGAGCCGGCCCCGCCCUGCCACGGACGUCACCUGUUGUCAUGACGUCACCGCCACGCCCCCUUUCCAUCCACCGACCUCCCCCUUCUUCUCUCCCAACGCCUUGGGCCUUGUCCCAGUCCCUGUCCCCGGUCCCAAGCAGGGUCCUUCCUCCCCACGUGUGCCAGGGUCCUUGAAGGGUCUUGAUCACAUCCUCAGGCCGCCUGAAUAGAGCUGCGUUUAUUACAUAGCUGCUGGAUCCCUUCCACUGACGGAAUCCAUAGACCAUCAAGGCCUGGAUCCCUAUUGAGAGCCCCCGAGCCAGGAUCCCAGCCAGUGAGACACUGCCCUAAUACUGACAUGGCUGUGCCCCUGAACUCCCACGUCCUGGGCCCCCAGGAACCAGUCGGACUCCUGAGUUUGAAGGUGAUGGACGACGUGCCCGGGGACGAGGAGUUCGUCCCCGGAGAGGACCUCGACACGGACUAUGACGCCUUCUGCCGAGGGCUCACCGACGACCUUGGAGAUCCGCAUGAAAGGGCGGAACAGUUCCUGACCAUCAUGCUUGGGAACGUGGAGACCUGGAUGAAGUUACAGCAUCUGGAGCCCAGUGAGGAGGUCCUGAUCGUGGAGGACUCAACCCAGCUGCUUGAGAGGAGAGAUCUGCUGUGCCGGGACCCCACCUUUCACGAGGAGUGGAACCCAGAGAAGGAGGUGGAGGAGAUGGCUGCCGAGUUCCUGGCCUCCAGGUCCCAGGAGCCGGUGACGUUCCAGGACGUGGCCGUGGACUUCAGCCAGGAGGAGUGGGGGCAGCUGGACCCUGCCCAGAGGGACCUGUACCGGGACGUGAUGCUGGAGAACUACGGAAAUCUGGUGUCCCUGGGACUUGUGGUGUCCGAACCUAGUGUCAUCUAUCAUUUGGAACAAAAGAAAGAGCCAUGGAAACUGGAUCUACAGGGAACUGACAAGACAAAGGUGCUAAGAGGCACCUGGCCAGACCAGAAUACCCAAACUGAGAGCCAGGCAAAAUCAUCCACUUCGAAACAAGGCACUUCUGAAGAAGGGUUCCUUUGGGGGUCAAUCAUGGAAAAGUCCACAAGGGAUGGUUCCUUGAACUCUAAGUUAAGCGUAGCCAGUCAGUGUGAAGGCAAGUUGAAAAGAAAAAAGAAAAGAAGAAAUCAGGAGAAACUCUAUGAAUGUAGUGAAUGCAGAAAAGCCUUUAAUCACUUCUCCGCCCUUAUUCGACAUCAGAGAAUUCACACCGGAGAGAAGCCCUAUGAAUGUGGUGAGUGUGGGAAGACCUUUAGCCAAAGUACAUGCCUUACUGUACAUCAGAGAAUUCACACCGGAGAGAAACCCUAUGAAUGUGGUGAAUGUGGGAAGACCUUCAGUGACAGCUCGACCCUCAUUCGGCAUCGCAUCAUUCAUAACAUAGAGAAACCAUAUAAGUGUCACGAAUGUGAGAAAUCCUUCAGUUACUGCUCAGCCCUCAUUCGACACCUUCGGAUUCACACUGGAGAGAAACCCUAUGAAUGUAACGAAUGUGGGAAAUCCUUCAGCCACAGCACGUGCCUUACCCAACAUCAGAGAACUCACACUGGAGAGAAACCUUACGAAUGCAGUGAAUGCGGGAAAGCCUUCAGCCAGAACUCAUCCCUUUAUUAUCAUCAGAGGACUCAUACUGGAGAGAAACCCUAUAAGUGCACUGAAUGUGGGAAAGCCUUCAGUUACCAUGCUUCACUCACCCAACAUAAGCAAACGCAUACAGGGGAGAGACCCUAUGAAUGUAGGGAAUGUGGGAAAACCUUCAGUCGAAGCACAUAUAUUAUUGAACACCAGAGAAUUCAUACUGGAGAGAAACCCUAUGAAUGUACUGACUGUGGAAAAACCUUCAGAUAUUGCUCAGCUCUUACUCAGCAUCAGAAAAUGCAUACAGAAGAGAAACCCUAUGAAUGCCGAGAAUGUGGGAAAGGCUUCCAUUUCUAUUCAGCUCUCAUUCAGCAUCGGAAAACUCAUACUGGAGAGAAACCCUUUGAAUGUACCGACUGUGGGAAAGCCUUUAUCCGGAGUACCUGCCUUACUCAACAUCAGAAAAUUCACAGUGGAGAAAAAUGCCAAGAAAACAGUGGACCGAAGAAAGCCUUUGGCCAAAGCUCUUCCCUUCCUGAAAACCAGAGAGUUAAAACAGGAGGGAAAUCCUUUGAGUGCAAUGAAUGUGGGAAAAUCUUUAAGUAUUACUCAAUCCUUGCUCAACAUCAGAAAACUCAUACUGGUGAAAAGCCCUAUGAGUGCAAUGAAUGUGGGAAGACCUUUAGCCGGAGCACAUGCCUUACCAAACAUAAUAGAACUCAUACAGGUGAGAAACCCUAUUUAUGCAGUGUAUGUGGGAAAGCCUUCAGUCAAAACUCGUCCCUUACCGAACAUCAGAGAAUUCACACUGGAGAGAAACCCUACGAAUGCAGUAAAUGCGGGAAAGCCUUCAGCCGGAGCACGUUCCUUACUCGUCAUCAGCAGACUCAUACUGGAGAGAAGCCCUAUGAGUGCAGUGAAUGUGGGAAGUCCUUCAGCCAGAGGUCAUCCCUUUAUUAUCAUCAGAGAACUCACACUGGAGAGAAACCAUAUGAGUGCUUUGAAUGUGGAAAAUCCUUCAGCAGAAGCACAUUUCUCACUCAACAUCAGAGAAUCCAUACUGGAGAAAAACCUUAUGCGUGCAGUGAAUGUGGAAACACCUUCAGUAGGCGUGCAGCCCUCACCAAGCAUCAAAAACUUCACACUGAAAAGUAAUUCUAGAAAAAAAGAAAGAAAAAAAGAAAGCUCUGUUGAAACAAUUAAGUAACAUCUGUGUUGGAAGUUAAAGCCAUAGGGUCUUUGGCCACCUCUUCAUGGCCUUGGAUUGAGAGUGUGACUGACGCUGCUGGAUUUCCUUCUGUGAAGCCCCUUUCUGAGACCUCCGAGAGCUGGGACCCUCCUGAGGAGACAGUGUCCCCCAGACAAACUCUCAGCUGGAAAAGCCCCGGUUGACAGCUGACCCCCAAAGACCUGGCCCUGGCUGCCUCCCCUCUCCCUCCCAAGCACCCCCUACACCCCAACUCCUGAGAGUAAAAUACAGGGGUGGGGAUCAUCCUAGGAGGAGGCAAAUGACUGACGCCUCUUGCCGAGGCAUCCCCGGAGCUUCGGGCCAGCAUUUCCUGGCUUUCUAGCCCAGGAAGGUGGAGACCUGGGUGAAGGCCCAGCACCCAGAGUCUGUUAACAAGGUGCUUUGACUCAAAAAGUUAUUCAGAAAGGUGAUCACCCCUAACUUAGGUGUGGGGAGGCCGUGUCCAGGGCGUAAAGGCCUGAGGUUGGGGGUGGGGGGAAAGACACUUGGAAAAGAGGGUCCCAGAAAUGAGUUCCCCUGACCUCAGGCUGUGGUGGGAGGGAGGAGCGGGGGGAGAUGGAGAGGGGAAAAGAGGGAGAGGGAAGAGAGAAAUGGGGAAGGGGAAAAGGGGAGGAAGAGAAAAAGAGGGAGGGAGGAAGAGAGAAAGAGGGAGAGAUAGAGGUAGGCAGAGAGGAAAGGGGAGAGAAGGAAGAGAAAAUGGGGAGAAGGAGAGGAAGAAGGGAGAGGGGAGGAGAGAGAGGCAGGUAGACAGGCAGAGAAAGGGGAGAGAGAGGAGAGAAAGGGAAGGAAAGAAAAGGAGGAGAAAGAGAAAAGGGAGGAAAAGAAAGGAGGGAAGAAGAAAGGAGAGGAAGAGAGGGGAAGAGAAAGGUGGAGGAGGGGGGAGAAAAGGGGCAGAGAAAGGAGGGAGAGGAAAAGAGAGGGAAAAAAAGGCAGAGAGGAAGGAAGAGAAAGGGGGGGAGAGAGCAAGAGAAAGUUCCUCUUGAACCCUCUGUGUCCCAUCUUUCCCCUGUAUGUCCUCCUGAAGCCAUACUAGGAGUGCACACACUCUUCAGGGGGAUCACUCUCCCGCUGCCAAGUUGUUCUGGCUUCUCACCCCCUUGGAAACUUCUCCUGACCUUGUCGAUGGCCGUCCGCCGUCCCUUGGGCUCUCGUUUCUUUUUCCCAGAAUCACGGGGGGCAGACGAGGCUGACGCUCUGAGCCCCUACAACAAAGACAAGGCGCCUACUGAGUUUCCUGAGCCCCUAAGACUUGUUAGCGUUACCAGAGCCAGCAAACAGUUCCUCUGUGUAACGGCAGGGCCUUUGGUGACUCCUCACAGAGGCGACGGCUCCGGAGAGCCCAGAAACGGGUCUUCGCUACAUCCUGGGCGGGGGAGCAGGGGGAGAGAUGGGAAAAGGAAUGUUCUCCUUCCCAGGUCAGGAGCUUCACUCUGGGGCCCCUGGCAGGGAUCCCCCCCCCAUCCCCGAAGGGCGCUUGGCCAUGUCUCUGCUUGAAUCUUUUCUGGAGAAAAGGGGGCCACAACCUCCCAAGAGCUCAUUCCAUCCUUGGGGUGACUCUGCUUGUUAAGCUCCUCCUUCACACUGAGCCCAAACCCUGUCGCCCCUUCCCCAGUGAGAGCCCGAGUUGGGACGGUUCUCAGAAGUGGGAUUCCGCAGACGGGCUUGUCUCCCCCGUGGGCUCCCUCGAUGAGGUUCCGGAUCUCGUCGGUGACAGGCUCAGCCCCCAGGGAGGGAAUGGAAUUUCUUGUCCCACCCCCUCAUCCCUCCCCACAGAAGAGCUCGGGGGCCACCAGCUUCAUGCGAGAUAGGGCUUGAACCCUUGCCAAAGCUGCAUUAAGGGGUGCUAUCCCUUACCGUUAACUGUCAUUUGGCAUUAGGGCCUUGGACUUGGAGUUAGGAAGACCCUAGUCUGAGCCUGAGCUUGUCACCUCUUAGCCUCAGUUUCCCCAUCUGUAAAAUGGGGAUUAUAAUAUUACAGCACCUACUUCACAGGGUUGUCAUGUAUCAAACCAGAAUGCUUCAAGUGCUAUAUAAUGUUCGCUGCUAUCAUCACGUACCCAGGGGCUUCCCUUAACUGGGCUUCGCUCAUUGGGAAAAAUGCUUUUGGUCUGGUCCCAUGAUUUCAUCAGAACGGACAUUCCUGAUGCUGGGAGCAAGUUCUAAGCAACCUAGAGGGUUGCCCGGGGCACGGAUUGAUUGUCCUGCCAGGAGCCAGGCAGCCAACUAACACACUCAGUGUCUCUAUCUUUUUUUCACUCUCUCUGUCUCUUUAUCUCUGUGUCUCUGCCGCUGUAUUCAUGUCUCUGUCUCUGUUUCCCUUUCUCUGCCUGCCCCUUCCUCUCCGUCUCUGUGUCUCUGCCUCUCUCUCUUUGUCUCUCUCUCUCUGUCUCUGUCUCUCUCUCUCUCUGUGUGUCUCUGUCUCUGUCUCUGUGUCUCUGUCUCUGUCUCUCUCUGUCUCUUUCUCUGUCUCUGUCUCUCUCUGUCUCUCUCUGUCUCCAUCUCUGUGUCUCUGUCUGUCUCUCCCCCUCUCCCUCUCUUUCCUCCCCCUUUCUUUCCUUCUCCUCUGCCCUGGCUGCCUGGGCAUUCUCUGCCCAUCACCGAGGGAAGCUGCCCUGGGUUCCAGGAGUGGCCGAUAACUGAGGGCCAGAGCCGGGGAAGAGGCUGCCUCGGCACCUUCCCUGCGGAGGGAGGGUUGGGAUGAGGGACUCCCCCCCCUCAGGGCUCCGAGGGAUUUCAUUCUCCUGCUUAGCCCCAGAUAACAGGUCUGGGACCAAGACCUGGAAGGUGCAAAGGGGUGAAUCCCUGCUCCAUGUGAGGAGAAACUUCCUGCUAAUGAGGGCUGUCUAAAAGUGACUGGAGCUGCUCCUGCGGGAGUGAGGGUCUCUGAGGGUGUUGGAGCAGAGGCCACUUGGAGGGGAUGAGUCUCUCGAAACCAGGCUCUUGUCCUGCUCCAGGGCUCUGCCCUGACUGUGGAGGCCGGUCCGGCCAGCUGCCUCCUCCCGGGCCCUCCCUCCUUCCCCACACCAGCCCCACCCUCCCAGCCUUUCCCCAAACCAGGGCCCUGAAUCUGCAGGGGGGAAAGUGCCAAAAGCGAGCCCCGAUGUUGGGCCCUCCAUCCCAUCCCAUCCAUCCAUCAUCAGGCAUUGCUAGCUAAUCAAACAGUGCCCCCUGCUGGCCACAGGCCAAAGUCCAACCCACUUCCAGACCUACUAGACAAGAACUCAGCUGGGGUCAUGGGGAUAGAUUUGGGGGGUGGGGGGGUCCAUGAAGUGGGAUGUAAAGAAACUAGGGCUUUGUUUUCACUGACUGAAGUUUGGCCUCUCCUGCAGUUAUGAGCGUUAAAGAGCGCUCUGGGGGGAGGCGGCCGCCAGAUUGCCAAAGGGCUUCAUCCCCCACAAUGGGGAAUACCCCGGGGGAGGUUCUGCUGCUUUAUCCAGAAGCCGGGCUCCCGAGGCUGGCGCGCUGCGGCCCGGCGCCCGCCUGCCCAGGCUUCGGUGUCCGCCCCCAACCCCGGACAUCCUGCGCCUCUGGGCAGCCGGUCCCGGGAGUCUGGCCCUGACUCACCUGGCCAUACCCAGGGGUCCUUAGGUCACGGUGCAAUUGGGGAAUUCCUAACCAAAAACCCACCAACUCGUAGGUUCCAUUUUCAAGGUCAGUGUGGCCAGCAGGGGUCCUUAGAUCUAGUUUAGUGGCCCCAUCGUGCUCCAUGGCUGCCUGUGUCACAUCCCAUCCGUCAACUAGACUGUCAGCUCCGUGAGGGCAGGGUCCGUAUCCUAUCUAAACACUUAUUCCCCCUGCGCCGAGCACAGCUCUCAGCACACAAUCGAUGUUUAAUAAACGUUUGCUCUGUUA